rnacentral:rRNA from 1 species
CAAAUUUGAAAGCUGGCGUCUUCGACGUCCGCAUUGUAAUCUCGAGAAGUGUUUUCCCGUGUUGGACCAUGUACAAGUUCCUUGGAACAGGACGUCAUAGAGGGUGAGAAUCCCGUACUUGACAUGGAUGCCCAAUGCUUUGUGAUACGCUCUCCACGAGUCGAGUUGUUUGGGAAUGCAGCUCAAAAUGGGUGGUAAAUUCCAUCUAAAGCUAAAUAUUGGGGAGAGACCGAUAGCGAACAAGUACCGUGAGGGAAAGAUGAAAAGCACUUUGGAAAGAGAGUUAAACAGUACGUGAAAUUGUCGAAAGGGAAGCGCUUGAAGUCAGACAUGCUGCUGAGACUCAGCCUUGGUUUUCCUUGGUGUAUUUCUCAGUUGGCAGGCCAGCAUCAGUUUUGGCUGUUGGAUAAGGGUAGGAGGAAUGUGGCAUCCUCGGAUGUGUUAUAGCCUCUUACUGGAUACAAC